rnacentral:rRNA from 1 species
GUGCCAGCCGCCGCGGUAAUACAGAGGGUGCAAGCGUUGUUCGGAAUUAUUGGGCGUAAAGCGCGUGUAGGCGGCGUGACAAGUCGGGUGUGAAAGCCCUCAGCUCAACUGAGGAAGUGCGCCCGAAACUGUCGUGCUUGAGUGCCGGAGAGGGUGGCGGAAUUCCCCAAGUAGAGGUGAAAUUCGUAGAUAUGGGGAGGAACACCGGUGGCGAAGGCGGCCACCUGGACGGUAACUGACGCUGAGACGCGAAAGCGUGGGGAGCAAACAGGAUUAGAAACCCCUGUAGUCC